rfam:Butyrivibrio fibrisolvens DSM 3071 genome assembly, contig: EJ22DRAFT_scaffold00018.18
UGACGUAAGGGUCAAAAGUCAUUUCGAUUCGAGCUUGCUCGAAAUCGAAUAUGAAUUUAUGACCCGCAAAACAUGAGCAAAGUAGCACGUAGUGCGGAUUUGCGAAUGUUUUAGGAUUGUGAGAGUUUCGAAGAAACGGAACAAUCCGUUAGUCA